GACGAAAAACCUUACCCACCUUUGACAUGGCAGGAACUUACCAGAGAUGGUUUGGUGCUCGAAAGAGAACCUGCACACAGGUGCUGCAUGGCUGUCGUCAGCUCGUGUCGUGAGAUGUUGGGUUAAGUCCCGCAACGAGCGCAACCCUUGCCAUUAGUUGCUACGAAAGGGCACUCUAAUGGGACUGCCGGUGACAAACCGGAGGAAGGUGGGGAUGACGUCAAGUCCUCAUGGCCCUUAUAGGUGGGGCUACACACGUCAUACAAUGGCUGGUACAAAGGGUCGCCAACCCGCGAGGGGGAGCCAAUCCCAUAAAGCCAGUCGUAGUCCGGAUCGCAGUCUGCAACUCGACUGCGUGAAGUCGGAAUCGCUAGUAAUCGUGGAUCAGAAUGUCACGGUGAAUACGUUCCCGGGUCUUGUACACACCGCCCGUCACACCAUGGGAGCGGGUCUCGCCAGAAGUAGGUAGCCUAACCGCAAGGAGGGCGCUUACCACGGCGGGGUUCGUGACUGGGGUGAAGUCGUAACAAGGUAAGCGUAGUGCU
rnacentral:rRNA from 1 species